rnacentral:misc_RNA from 1 species
UGGCCUUCUGCAGUAUUGUCCACAAGACAUUUAUUCUAUAUUACCAUCAUCAAUUAAGCAAGGUAGGCUGUUGGGAGCAUAAGCCACCACCAGUAGGAGGUGGGAAGGAGUUUAGCAAGUCAUAAAUGGCCAAAAGUAGUCACCCGUUACCGAUCCAUAAGUGCACAUUGGUGGUCAAGAAACAUGGAUUUGCUAAAGGACUUUAGAGGAGAAGAAAGCUCCAACAUCUCAAUUUCACUUUAGCCUUAAGAGAGGCCGGCCACCAGAGAGUCGACGUUAGUUUCCUUGAGUUACCUCUCUUCACCACAAUUUCUGAAGCCCCCCACACAAUAGAAGACAUGCCGUCCAAGCAAAAACAAGCAGGUUAUUAG